rnacentral:rRNA from 1 species
GAUGAACGCUGGCGGCGUGCUUAACACAUGCAAGUCGAACGGAAAGGCCAGUGCUUGCCCUGGUACUCGAGUGGCGAACGGGUGAGUAACACGUGGGUGAUCUGCCCUGCACUUCGGGAUAAGCCUGGGAAACUGGGUCUAAUACCGGAUAGGACAAUGGUUUGGAUGCCGUUGUGGAAAGUUUUUUCGGUGUGGGAUGAGCUCGCGGCCUAUCAGCUAGUUGGUGGGGUAUUGGCUUACCAAGGCGUCGACGCGUAGCCGGCCUGUGAGGGUGUACGGCCACACUGGAACUGAGACACGGUCCAGACUCCUAAGGGAGGCAGCAGUAGGGAAUCUUCCGCAAUGGGCGAAAGCGUGACGGAGCAACGCCGCGUGAGUGAUGAAGGUCUUCGGAUCGUAGAACUCUGGUAUUAGGGAAGAACAAAUGUGUAAGUAACUAUGCACGUCUUGACGGUACCUAAUCAGAAAGACACGGCUAACUACGUG